UGGGAAGUGAGGGGCAGCAACCUCUGCGUUUAUCCUUUUCCUUCCUGCUUGUUUCAGUGAGCAGGAGCUGGAGGGGGAAAGGAGUCUGUUCCUCCAACUGAGCUGAGGAGAGGCCACUGUACCACCUGGGCUGCUGCUGCUAGGCUGUUUCUUCAAAGAUAAUAAACCUUGAUCUUAUUGAAGCCAGAGUCAUGAAGAGGGUCUCUUUUCUCCCUCUGCUUCCUGCUUUGACAGAUCCCUUUCCUGAAGCAAUGAGGGUAGAACGCUUUGUCCCAAAGCCCCAGGUGGCUUUCAGGAUGAAGACUGUUCUGUGCAUGUCCCUGGAGCGUCCUGCUUCUGGCUGGGUACUGGAUGGAACCCCUGCAGCUGCCCUCUACUCGCAGCAGUCUUCCCACUGGCCACCUCUGAGCCCCCAGUUCAACCCUACUUGACCCAGCAGACAUCUGUCUCCCCCAGGCUGUGGAUCCAAGGAAGGUGGAGACCACAUCUGUUGAGCAGCUUCCAGCAGCACCUGGUGCAUGAGACUGCUUUAGUCGGUUGGAAAAAGUAACCCCUCACCUGUGCGCCUGUGAGUAAAUACUCACCUACGUUCCUGUGAGUGACCCCCACCCAUGCUCCUGUAAGAAACCUCUCAUGCCUGUGCCUGUGAGUGACCCCAGGAAAGCCAUCGCUUCACCGAGUUGGACUUCAUGGAAUUCUUUUGGUGUGUCAUUGUUUCCCCCCUAUCUGGGGGAAACAGACUUUUUCUUCUGUGUCCUCAGGAAAAGUCACCACAACAGAGCCAUUCUCGUCAUCAUAUGAGUCCACUGUAGCCCAAAUGUCACACAACUAUACCUGGGUAAUAAAUACAGAGGCAAAAGGCUAAGAAUAAAAGCAAAGUCCCUACACUUUGGGCUGGUGAGAUAGUUCAGCAGGUAAAAGCACUUGUCUAACCAAGCACACAAGCCUAACCACCCAUGUCCCACUCAGAACCCACAGCAGAAGGAGACAACCGCCACCCAAAAGUCCUCUGACCUUCACACAUGCACCUUGUGUACACACACACACCAAAAAAAAAAAAAAAAAAAAAAUACAAGAAUUGACUUGCAAGUUGCCACACUUCAACAAGUGGGCCAGGACCACUUGAAUCUGGGGCCCAGUUGCUCCGAGGCCUUCUGCAGUCGUCUGUAGCCUCACUCCUCACAACCCAUGGCCCUAACACAAAUGGUCAGUCUGAAGAAAGACAACUUAGGGGCUAGAGAGUGAGUCAACAAUUAAGAACUCAGGGGCUUGCUUUUAAUUCCCAGCACCAGUGCCAGGUGGCUCACAACAGCCUGUAACUCCAGUGCUGGGGGAUCCAAUACCUCCGGCCUCCGUACCCCAACACAUACACACAUGCAUACAUAUAAUUAAAAAUAAUAAAAUAAAUCAAAACAAGACAACUUUAUACUUAACAAGAUCCAAUGGCAAUAAAGUAAAGGAUAAAAUACACGUAAUUAUCUUAAGAUAUGGAGCACCCAUAUACGAGAAUAAUACUCAGAGGGAUGACAUUCGAUGUAUGCUACCAUGUGGGUAAAAUUUCAAAGCAUUAUGCAUAAGAAAGAGGCUUGUUACAAAAUAAACUAUGGAAACUGCAUUUUUUUUCUCAAUGAAUUUGCACCUUCCCAUAUCCAUUCCAUUAAAAUAACAAAUGCAUAGCCUAUCUGACAAAGGGACUCUGCAUCUUUGGAUUCUCCAAGGCAACCGUGUAAGGCUGGAAGGCAGUAAAGACUUCCAUUGUCUAGAACAGUGAAACAACGGAAAUAACCUCGGCAUCCAGUCCUGGGCGAGGGAGCUAAAUAAGGCCUGACACAUCGAUUCACUAAACAAUGCAGGAGCUGAGGCAAACAGGUCGUCUUAGUAGUUUCACAAGUCGGCCUCAGAUACACUGGAGUAGAAAGAACAAGGUAAAGUAUGUUGUAUAAUGUCUAAUGCAAAUUCUGACAGAAUCACCCCCCUCACUAAGGAUAAAGGAGACUGAGAGUGCUGGGAACCAUGGCACAUUCCCCAGCUUCAGGGCUGGCAGUCUGAGCUGUAGGUAGCUGCUCAGCGAGACUGGAACAAGGCCUGCUUUUCCUCUCUCCUCCUCCAUCUGUGUCACCCUCAGAACUGAGAGCUGAGAAGGCUAUGGGCACCCAGGGCACCAGGGGGAGACAGGGCUGGAGUCCCAUUCUAGGUAAACAGGGCUUUCACCCAAUUAGGGCCACUCAUCCCUGGUUGGGAGAUGUGGAGGAGGCUGGGAUGGAUGGAGGACUGUGAGACCCACUUAGCUCCAGGAUCCCUCUGGCUGUGCUGAACAUCCUUCUCGGGAGUGUCUGACUAUGAGGUUGUGGCGUGUGUGGCUCCAGG
rnacentral:lncRNA from 1 species